AAAAUGGCAGCAAGCAUUUAAAUCACAAGCAGUGAGCCCAAAUUUUGAUCCACGUGGGUGAUUUGUGUCAUAAGUAAGGCUUAAGAGACUCCAAGCUAUCCCGGCAGCCAGACUAACAGGGCCUGCCUUCCCUCCCCUGAUUCCUAAUUAAAAUGCCCUGAAAAUCCACAAACACACAAAAACUGGCAACAGCAAUUUAUCCGAGUGAAAUCCAGAGGCCAAAUCUGCAGACUAUCAAGUAAGCACACUGUCUGGAGGUGCGCCCGCUGGUGAAAGAACCCACUUCAUAAGGUUGUGAGGACGGAAGAAGUACUGGAUGGAAGCUCCAUAGAGGCGGGGAUGUGGCUUCUUCAGUAUCCCCACAGUUCAACGCCAAGUGCCUAGAAUGUUGUGUGACACAUUGAGGAGGUAUGGACGAAGAAGGUCACCUGUUCCAUCAGCAAACAAAGGAUGUUGGGGGCCAUCAAGCCAUCAACCACUGUAGCUGCCCUGACUGUGCGACCUGAGGGGAUUCAGGAUGGAGAAAAACAAGAUACUGGCCCUAGAUAGAGAAUCCUAGAAAUCAUGGACUCAAACACAAAGCAAAAGAAGCUAGGAUUGCAUUUAUGGUUGGAAUGUGGAAAGCUCAGAGACCACCCUCCUCACUUGUAAUAAGAACAAGCAGGAUAAACCAGAAAGUCAUAGUUUCUUUCUUUUUUUAAUUCCAUCCGAGAGCUGAGGGAUCAAAGAAACUUAAACAAACUAAAUUCCAGGAAGUGAUGAGCCCUUCCAAGCAGAGAAGCACCACUGUCUGCUUUCAUUCAUGGUGCAUACUGGGUUGAGGAGGAAUCAGCCUGACUUCUAACAAACUUGCAGGGGCUGUGUGUGGGCUGCUGUGAGAGAUUCGAAUCCCAAGGAGCCCAGAUGCAGAGCACUUACUCUCUACCACUUACCACCUGCAUCCUCGGGACCUUCACUGAGUGACUGAAGCAAAUGAGGAGCCCAGAUGCAGAGCACUUACUCUCUACCACUUACCACCUGCAUCCUCGGGACCUUCACUGAGUGACUGAAGCAAAUGAGGUGCCCAGAUGCAGAGCACUUACUCUCUACCACUUACCACCUGCAUCCUCGGGACCUUCACUGAGUGACUGAAGCAAAUGAGGUGCCCAGAUGCAGAGCACUUACUCUCUACCACUUACCACCUGCAUCCUCGGGACCUUCACUGAGUGACUGAAGCAAAUGAGGUGAAAGCUGGCGGCAGGGGGCAGGAGAGCUGAGAGAACUCUUUCUGAGGCCCCCGGGCUUC